GCCCCCGUAGUCUAGUUGGCCAAGGAUACUGGCCUCUCGAGCCAGUGACCCGGGUUCAAAUCCCGGCGGGGGCA
rnacentral:tRNA from 1 species